GAAAUAGCUGCUAAUACCGCAUAAGCGCACGGUUCCGCAUGGAACAGUGUGAAAAACUCCGGUGGUGUGAGAUGGACCCGCGUCUGAUUAGCCAGUUGGCGGGGUAACGGCCCACCAAAGCGACGAUCAGUAGCCGGCCUGAGAGGGUGAACGGCCACAUUGGGACUGAGACACGGCCCAAACUCCUACGGGAGGCGGCAGUGGGGAAUAUUGCACAAUGGGGGAAACCCUGAUGCAGCGACGCCGCGUGAGUGAAGAAGUAUUUCGGUAUGUAAAGCUCUAUCAGCAGGGAAGAAAGUGACGGUACCUGAAUAAGAAGCCCCGGCUAACUACGUGCCAGCAGCCGCGGUAAUACGUAGGGGGCAAGCGUUAUCCGGAUUUACUGGGUGUAAAGGGAGCGUAGACGGCAAGGCAAGUCUGAAGUGAAAGCCCGGUGCUUAACGCCGGGACUGCUUUGGAAACUGUUUGGCUGGAGUGCCGGAGAGGUAAGCGGAAUUCCUAGUGUAGCGGUGAAAUGCGUAGAUAUUAGGAAGAACACCAGUGGCGAAGGCGGCUUACUGGACGGUAACUGACGUUGAGGCUCGAAAGCGUGGGGAGCAAACAGGACUAGAUACCCUGGUAGUCCACGCCGUAAACGAUGAAUGGUAGGUGUAGGUGGGUAUGGACCCAUCGGUGCC
rnacentral:rRNA from 1 species